AUUGAACGCUGGCGGCAGGCCUAACACAUGCAAGUCGAGCGGAUGAAGGGAGCUUGCUCCUGGAUUCAGCGGCGGACGGGUGAGUAAUGCCUAGGAAUCUGCCUGGUAGUGGGGGAUAACGUCCGGAAACGGGCGCUAAUACCGCAUACGUCCUGAGGGAGAAAGUGGGGGAUCUUCGGACCUCACGCUAUCAGAUGAGCCUAGGUCGGAUUAGCUAGUUGGUGGGGUAAAGGCCUACCAAGGCGACGAUCCGUAACUGGUCUGAGAGGAUGAUCAGUCACACUGGAACUGAGACACGGUCCAGACUCCUACGGGAGGCAGCAGUGGGGAAUAUUGGACCAUGGGCGAAAGCCUGAUCCCGCCAUGCCGCGUGUGUGAAGAAGGUCUUCGGAUUGUAAAGCACUUUAAGUUGGGAGGAAGGGCAGUAAGUUAAUACCUUGCUGUUUUGACGUUACCAACAGAAUAAGCACCGGCUAACUUCGUG
rnacentral:rRNA from 1 species